UGCAUCAAGGCAAAAUAUUGUACUUGGCAUUUAAAUUCAAAGUUGAUGGCAGUUUCAGGAAUGCCUGACCCUGAUAGUCAAUGCCAAGGGCUACAUUUUUUGUAUUCUGUAAUUCUCUUCAAUAACUGCUCCAAGACUCAUACAGAGAGAGCAGUGCACAGUCAGGGCUGUUACUAAUUCUUUGAUCAAAAUCAGAUGAUUUGCCUUUCCAAUUUUUUUAAAGUUCCAAAGCUGUUCUUGCUUUGGUUUUUGCUGUAAGAGUUUUGAUGCAAAGCACAACUUACAUGUUUGCCCCAGCUCCUGAGGCUUGGACAUGUGUGAACAAUAACAAUCAAGAUGCAGUAAAUUUUCUGAGGAUUAAUGCCUGGCUGGGAGGAGAUGAAGGUCAGCAGCACAGCCAAGGAUCAUUAACCCAAGCUGGUCACUAAUCUCAAGAAAUUACUUCAUACCAAGGCCUGGAUAGAACUUAAUUUCUUGUGAGUUCCUGGGGAAAUCACACAUCUUUCCUGCCCACUGAAGGAGGAAAUGUUGGUAACCAGUUAUAAAAGAAAGCUCCACUACGACCCUGCUGCUUCAGAGCCUCAUUUUUGUUAGAGCACUGCCUCCAGCUCUGGAGUCCCAGCCCAGGAAGGACCUGGAGCUGUUGGAGAGUCCAGAGCAGACACCAGGAUGAUCAGAGGGCUGGAGCAGCUCCGCUGGGAGGAAAGGCUGGGAGAG